GAUAUCUCCACUACGCGUGAACUCUUAUUCAACAUUGUCAAUUAACUGACCGUCUCCACACCCCGUCCGGUAUGAGUGCCAAAAAUACCAUUCCUUAAUACCCUAUCUGGUAUGAGGGUGAAACGAGCCAUCCCCAUACCCCGUUCGGUAUGAGCGCCAAAAUACCAAUCCUCAAUACCCCGUAUGGUAUGAAGCAACGUUCACGGUAGGGUUCCUUAUGUAUUCACUCCAUCCACUAUUUUUCAAUAUAUCCAGUAAGGC
rnacentral:lncRNA from 1 species